rnacentral:rRNA from 1 species
UACAGAGGUCUCAAGCGUUGUUCGGAUUCAUUGGGCGUAAAGGGCGCGUAGGCGGCGGGGUAAGUCGGGUGUGAAAUCUCAGGGCUCAACCCUGAAACUGCACUCGAUACUGCUCUGCUUGAGGACUGGAGAGGAGACUGGAAUUCACGGUGUAGCAGUGAAAUGCGUAGAUAUCAGGAGGAACACCGGUGGCGAAGGCGGUUCUCUGGGCCUGUGCUGACGCUGGAGGAGCGAAAGCGUGGGGAGCGAACAGG